AUUAUCACCGAAAACACUAGACUUAGAGAUGAGUGGUUCUUUAAAAUCAGUCUCUUCAAAUGCAUGGUUCUUCUGAUCCCAAAGGACGAGCCACACACCCAGGUCAAUAUAUAACUAGAUCUUACCCCAAAAUCAUGCUGAUGCCAAUCCUUUAGUAUCUGAAAUCUAAAAGUUUAUUUAUAUAAAGAAAGAAAGAAAG